GACGAACGCUGGCGGCAUGCCUAAUACAUGCAAGUCGAGCGAACAGAUGAAGUGCUUGCACUUCUGACGUUAGCGGCGAACGGGUGAGUAACACGUAAGGAAUCUACCUAUAAGCGGGGGAUAACAUUCGGAAACGGGUGCUAAUACCGCAUAAUAUCUUCUUCCGCAUGGAAGAAGAUUGAAAGACGGCCCUGCUGUCACUUAUAGAUGACCUUGCGGUGCAUUAGUUAGUUGGCGGGGUAAUGGCCUACCAAGACGAUGAUGCAUAGCCGACCUGAGAGGGUGAUCGGCCACAUUGGGACUGAGACACGGCCCAAACUCCUACGGGAGGCAGCAGUAGGGAAUCUUCCGCAAUGGGCGAAAGCCUGACGGAGCAAUGCCGCGUGAGUGAAGAAGGCCUUCGGGUCGUAAAACCCUGUUAUAAGAGAAGAACAAAUUGUAGAGUAACUGCUACAGUCUUGACGGUAUCUUAUCAGAAAGCCACGGCUAACUACGUGCCAGCAGCCGCAGUAA
rnacentral:rRNA from 1 species